ACAGGGCAAACAGAUGUAUAAGAGGCGAGGCAAUAACAAAAUCCAGAGACAGGCGGUGGUCAGGUCAGGCAGCAAACAAUCACAGAAUCUAAAGACAGGCAGGGUCAAAACCAAAGGAUCUACAACUUAGGAAACUCGGAAACUACAAUACAACAGGCGAAACAAUGCAACCUGCAGGUGAGUGGCUUGCUGCAGUUUUUAUAGUCCUGGAACAGGAAGUUGUCGCAGAGGGAGUGGAUGCAGAUCACCCAGAGGUCAGGGCUCCCUCUGCUGGCUUGGUGACAGGUAUAGACAACCACGAUUUUGUGUUCAGGUAAACUUUUAUUUUCACAAUUCUAUAUAGUCCAGAGGUUAAUUAUGAGAGAGCCAUACUUUUACAGUUCUGAUUUCCACAGGAUGAAUAAGGCACCAGUUCAAGGCUAUGAGAAAGACGUGGGAUCCAGGACGACCCAUCGUAUCAUGUUACCCAGAAAGUGCCACGCAUCUGGACAGCAACACACACCUGGUGCUGUUGCCCUUCAAAACACUAGAUAUCCAGUGGGUCACCAGUGCUCUAUCCGACGGAUCUAUCAAACGAACACGUUUUAAGGUUAUAGACAAGCUACAAGCCAACAAGGACCAAUAAGAUCAGUAUCUUUUCUUUUUUUUAACAAUAAACCUUUCAGUAAAAGAGUUCAUUUAAAGACCUCUGGAUUGACAUAAUUGGGCAGAUGAAAGUGCACUUUGUCUCUACAAUCUUCACCAAGGAGACCUAACAGCUAUGGAGACCAAUGUUAUGAUGCAGAGGCUAGGCAUGGGAUAAUUGUACGAUACGUUCAAUGGGAACCUUUCAGCAUCACUUGAUGCUGUGCAAAGGAGAUUCAUUUUACAUCUUAACAACACUUUGUUUAAAAAGUGUCAAAAUGCUAAAGCUCGUGUUGUUUAGAUGUCACUAUAGCUUCUGAAGUGACUUAUAAUUGGUUUCUCAUUCUUUUAGGCGAUGGUUAUUCAUCCCUGCUUUCAUGCAUUAUGUUCACAAUAGUUGGCUGCACAUUAAGUCUCAAAGAUCUUAUCCAUCUACAGGUUUUCUUGGGCUAAUUUUCGCAUUUCACAUUUGCGAUGAGGUAAAGCUUUUACUUUCUGGGGUGUAUGUACUGUGCACUAAUGUCGUUUUCUUUUGCUGAUGUGUUUUUUGCUUAGGGCCACAUGUUUGGCUUUGGUGCAAACAGUAAAGGCACCUGGCACCACUAUUUCAAAAACACACCCAAGUCUUUCAAACGCACUGGUAAACACAGCGGAGGAAUUGAGAAUGAAACCAUCUUAGAACUUCAGGAAAGGAGACUGAUUAAUCUAUACAUGGGGUGGUGAAAAGAAUAAUGACCUAAAGUAACCCAAUUAUUUAUUGAUAUUUAUGACAAAUGCAUAUAUUAUCUUACUUUACUCUUUGUUCAAAAAGUACAUUUCCAUUCAAAUGUUUUGGCUCCGAAAGCUCUUGUUGUUUUUUUGUAACUUUGCAAUGAUCCUGAUUAAUUAUAUUAAUGAUCUGUCGGUUGGGUGCGUUUGUGUGCGCAAACAAGCAACAUGUUUUAUUUAAUUUAAUGUACAAAUUUUUGAUUUGUAUUUUAAGUGCAACAUUUUAGAAUGAAAACUGUGAUUAACUAAAGGCAAGAUAUUAAAUGCACAUACAUAUAGUUGU